CGGACGGGUGAGUAAUGUCUGGGAAACUGCCCGAUGGAGGGGGAUAACUACUGGAAACGGUAGCUAUACCGCAUAACGUCGCAAGACCAAAGAGGGGGACCUUAGGGCCUCUUGCCAUCGGAUGUGCCCAGAUGGGAUUAGCUAGUAGGUGGGGUAACGGCUCACCUAGGCGACGAUCCCUAGCUGGUCUGAGAGGAUGACCAGCCACACUGGAACUGAGACACGGUCCAG
rnacentral:rRNA from 1 species